UUCAGCAGUAGUCAGCUCUGCAGGCGUGUGUUAGUGCCUGAGGCGGUGUUACUCUGCUGGAACAGUGAGCUGCAGCUGCACUGGCCUGGCUGUAGGUGCCGCUGUUCUGGCGACUCCUCAGCAUUCAGGUACAGGCAGUGCAGAGACCCUCUGAGCGAGAGCUGAGCCUGACUUCACAUUUUCAGUGGCUCAGUGCUUGACAGGAGGCCUUACACA
rnacentral:snoRNA from 1 species